AUGGCGGCCGCCUCCCUGGGCGAAAAGGAGAAGGAGCGGGUGGGCGGCGGGUCGGGGGCGGCGUGCGGCAAGAGCACGCGAGAGCGGCUGCUGUCUGUGCUGGACGACCUGGAGGUCCUGUCCAGAGAGCUCAUAGAAAUGCUGGCAAUUUCAAGAAACCAAAAGUUGUUACAGGCUGGAGAAGAAAACCAGGUGCUGGAGUUAUUGAUUCACAGAGAUGGGGAGUUUCAGGAACUCAUGAAAUUGGCACUUAAUCAGGGAAAAAUUCACCAUGAAAUGCAAGUUUUAGAACAAGAAGUUGAGAAGAGAGACAGUGAUAUUCGGCGGUUACAAAAACAGCUAAAGGAAGCUGAACAAAUACUGGCAACAGCUGUUUACCAAGCAAAAGAAAAACUGAAAUCAAUAGAUACGGCAAGAAAAGGUGCUAUCUCCUCUGAAGAAAUAAUUAAGUAUGCACAUAGGAUUAGUGCAAGUCAUGCUGUGUGUGCCCCAACGACCUGGGUUCCAGGGGACCCACGGAGACCAUACCCAAGGGAUUUAGAGAUGAGAAGUGGAUUAUUGGGUCAAAUGAACAAUCCUUCCACUAAUGGUGUGAAUGGCCCUUUACCUGGAGAUGCACUUGCAGCAGGCAGAUUGCCAGAUGUCCUGGCUCCACAGUAUCCCCGGCAAUCAAAUGACAUGGCAAUGAAUAUGUUACCACCAAAUCACAGUAAUGACUUUUUGUUGAAACCUCCAGGGCAUAAGAAAGAAAAUGAAGAUGAUGUAGAGUUUAUGUCAACAGACUCCUCUAGCAGUAGUGACUCUGAUUAA